rnacentral:lncRNA from 1 species
UCUUGGAAAUGUGCAGUGAGCUGUGAUGAGCCUUCUGGCUCUGACUGGGUUGCAGCUUGGGUAACAUAAGGAGGAUGGAUUCAAAGGAGAGAGUAUGAAGGCACAUCAGGUUUAGAAGGAUGUUGGCUCGUCAGUCCACCUCUUAAAUCCAGACUGGAAUAUUCAACAGCUAUCUGAUGCAUUUCUGUGAAUUUUUAUACAGAUGCUCAGUGUGCCUAGAGGGUGAACUCAAAUGAAUCUGGGGAUCCUCUGAACAUCCUCCUCACCAGCAAUUAAAAAGAUUGCAUUUUGUUUAGAUGUUUUUUAUCCCCUCUCAGUAUGAGUUGGAACAAAACCAGAACUUUUUAUUUGUUCAGUUCAAAUCGGUAACACUUGAUGUGAACCCACCUCUGAACACAUUUAUGAAUAUAAAUAAAGCUUUAGAGCAACCCCGAGCACUCAUUACAGCUUUUAUCAAUGUUUAUAAGGUGUUAUGAGCAGAGAGCAUAAUGCCUAGUAAAAGUAUGAUUUCUAAUGGAAUACAGCUUAAAACUUACAAUUAUAAGUGUACUUAUGGUGCAUUAUAGGAGGUAGAUUUAUAUAAAUUGUUCGAAAAAUGUGCCAGUUUUUAGCACAGCUUCACAAAAUGCUCAUACUCAUAGGGUUAACCAUGACUAUAGACCCAAAUACCAUCCAGCAAAGCUUAAGACAAAUAAAACAUAAUAUGCCUUAUGCUUCCUCCUGUGUUAGCUUUUACUACGCACCCACUCUGUUAUGGGUCGGUUUUGAUCUGUUUCUUAAAUCAGCUGUACAUUACACUAAAAACAUUUCUCUAUCAUCCAGUUUGGUUCUCAUCUCUAGGUUACCUUGUUCGGCUUCAUUAUCCAUAAAAAUAUUUCUCAUAAUAUUUUAUGUAGUGGGCCUCUGGGUCUUUCUUUGUCAGUAUACCCCUCACACAGACAUCUAUACUGAAUUGAUCUUACAUGUCUGGACAUGCCUGAGGUUGUUUUUUUGUGUGGGAAAAAACAGGUAAAAUGAGAAUUUCCUAAAUCUCACAUGAUUAGAAGAGGAUCUGGCUGUCAGUGUGGUGCCUGACAGUGCAUAUAUGAUUUUAGUUUUUGCUCUAAUUAUUAGAUAUUAAUCUAACUUACCCUAACACGACAAGUGCCAUAGUUUUAGUAAGAAUAAUUUUAUUUUGUUGAAAUAGAGUCAAAAAGUCUUGAUGCAAAAAAGCUAAUUUAAGUGGUUCUUUUAAGCAUUUAAAAACAAAAACAGGUCGGUGCAGACCCUAACACAGGAGGAGGAUUAAAUUAACAUGCUUUUUAAUGACCAGCAGGCAAGUCUUAAAAGUAUGGUUCCCAUCUUUAAAUAAUGUGAAACUGCUCAGUUUGAGGUUUUGGGAUCGUAAUAUCCUAGUGUUUGUGUCCUCUCCUUUUAUACCCAAGAGCUCCCAGAAAACUUGUUUUUAAGUGGCCCAACACCUCAAACAUGAACACACACUCAUACACCUGUUCAAGAAGACAGUCACACCCUUCAGCAAACAAGCCAAUCAUAGGAGUUAAAAACAGCCCAAGAAAAAUCACCAAUGUUCUAUGAGCAAUUUUCAUGAACAGUGUCUGGGCAAAGCUUCUGAAAGUUAGUAUGCAAACGUUUUGAGAUCAGCAUUAAUCUACAUUAAUACUGAGCUCAAAGUGUUGUUGCCUGCACUGAUGUACUCCGGAUAUUUCCAGAAACUCUAAUGCUUGCUCCCCAAACAGGAAGUCCAUAUAAAAAUGUACCUUCAGCCUUCAAUGUGCAAGCACACUGUGAUAAAUGCGGGACUGAGAGGUAAUUGGCUUUAUCAGCGGGGCUAUUACAACCACAUUUAGUCCGAAGAGAUUUCUGAUAUAUUUCCUGAAUGAACACUAGUUCUCUGAAUUCUCUUCCUCCGAAUUGAUUUAGCCUCAUUAUUUCUUGCAUGUUGGAUUUUGUGGAUUUGAAGCGCACGUCACCCUGAUAUCUCUGUCACAAACAUCUCUGGACCUUUGACUCAACAUGCAGCUAGGUUUAUAUGGGAGGUUUCCAUGCCAAUGACCAUUAAAGUAUCCAAUUUCAGUCCUAUCUAUUCAGCCUCAUUCAGAGCCUGCCAGCUUUUAGAGAGGAUGUGGGCGUAAUGGAGUUGGUUCUUAAGGAGAUGGCGAAGAGAUGAGAACUACAGAGAUUGAAGGCUUUAAGGGGGGUGAGGAGACAAGUAAGGGCUGCAGGGAUAGAGACCAUCGGAAAUGAAAGACUGGAUAACCAGCAGAGCUUAUGUCGAGGUCUAAGGCCUAACAACUGACAGCCUUUGGAAUUGAUUUUACAGCACAAAGAUGCUUCAGCUUGACCUGAGUGGUGGGGAAAGUGUAAAUAGAAUUUUUUGAUUUGCCCUUGGAGUGUGCCCAUUUGUUGGCUUUGCAGCUCCCUGGCUUGUUAUAUAAUUCUAUACUCCAACAGCGGUGAUAAUUGGGUUUAAAGAGCAAAGGAGGACAGCCAGAUGACUGCAACAGCUGGUGCGCAUACCUGAAAGAUGCCCCCCUGGACUGCAGUGAUGGUAAACCUCCUGCUCUUUCACAUACAUUUUUCACCUAAAAAAAAACACCCCAAAAAAACCCCAUCUCUCCUCAACUCCCUCUAAAACCGUAUCCUGAUCGGUUUCUCAGACAGAAGUGUUAACCCUGACCUUAAACCAAACUGGAGACCUUUUUCAAAGUGCUAGACAACCACUUUUCACCAAAAUGCUUUCACCUCACAGUCUGAAAAAUUCUGCUUCUUGUAAAAAUCACACAAAGGACUUUAAAGUAAGUUAAUGAAGAUUACCAAGAGGCAUGGGAAGGCAGACACACAACCUGGAAGUCUACGCACGUGUCCUUUCAAAAUUUAUAAGGGCAAAUAUGAUUCAUAAGUCUAGUACCCUGCAAAAUUAUAAAAAGUGUGAUGGUUUGAGUUUUUUUUCCAGCAUGUCACACUGUUCUGCUGACAUUCAUAACUCUUCCUCAAUUACCUGUGCUUUUUGUAAAGGGAUUGAAAGGCCAUAAAGUAGGAAAGAAGAGAAAAACUCAGGAACCUGAACGGCAGCCUUAAUUUUCAGAGCUCAGAAAUUUGUGAAAAGAUAAUACCUCUUUAAAAGCUGUGGGUCCAUCAACUAAUUCCCAAAUCCAAUUAAAUCUUUUUUCUAACAUUUGAAACACCUCAGCUAAAAAGUGUCUGAAACAGAUCAAACCAAAACCUUAUUAAACUUCAUGUCUCUAAGGUCUAGCAUUCACUCCCGUUCUCAGUCCGAAAGCUUUAAUUCAUCCAGACGUGUUUGUAUUUAGUUAUAGGGAAUUGUUUCAGGCAUUCACUCCAUUCUCUGUCAAAAAUAUUGAAGUUUUGUUCUCACCGUUUUCACCCAACUGGUUAACCUGUAGAGAUGGAGAAAGACAACAUAAUAUGAUUAAUAAAGCACAUAAACGUCAAGGUGGGUGUGGGAUUUUAGUGGAGGAGAACGGCAGAAGAGAAGGCCAUGAGAAAGAUGAGUAAAUCAGGUGGGUGUCAAGGAGGUGGGGAGGUAAUUGGAUUGUGUGAGCGCUCAUAUUUGACGAAGGCGAAUCUGCUUCCUAGACCUUUUCACCCCUUUCGCUGAGCUCCUGUGUAAUCAAGGGACAGAAAGGGGAUGUGUGUAUCACCGGCCAAACAAGCAUGAACACAGAAAAGCCAAGUGGUCAUUAAAAGAUACAAUUCACCAUGUCAGGAACCAUUUAAAAAUGCAAUCAUGCACCCGUUCUGAUGCGGUGUCCUGUCUUAGCGAAGCUGUCAGAGGUUUGUGAGGAGGAAUGGAAUUAAUUACCACGACUAUCAAGACUCUGCAGGAAGCGGAGCACUCGCAGAGGUGAGGUGAUAAUGAGCUGCCACGCCAGAUUAGAUCAAUGCAGUGGGAGUCUGAUGGGAGAUGUUAGAGCUGUCCUGUACUUUCUGACUUCACUGCCUGCUUCAAAAAGCCUCAACAUCCAAAUAGAGUUAAUGAAACUGCUUGAAAUGGACUUAAGUUGUCUGUUUGAACUUUGGUGCAUCUGAAGAUCAGUGGGGACAAAGAUGAGGUGAGAAAAACUCACACAUGUCCAGAAUAAUAAUACACCUCAGUUCAAUUUAAAAUGAGAAAUUAAAUGAGAAAACAGACUGGAAUUCAUAUUGAGGCUUUUUUGUUAUAUAUAAAAGCAAACAAGACCAUCAGUGACAGGAGUGUCAGUCUUUAUAGUGUAAUUUUCAAUGCCUGAAAUGAGCGAGAGGGGGUCGAUGUCAGCUGAGCAGCUGAAGAAACAGCCUUGUUUUUACAAUUUCAACACAAAAAGUCACUCUCAACGAUAGAUGUGACUGUUUAAAGCCAGCAGGAUGAGAUAUUUUGUCUACAUAAGCAUAUAGAGGAAAACUGAUUUGUCCAAAAGUUCUUCACAGGAGCGUUGAAUAAUUCACAACAAAAUCAAAUCUAACUCACUCAUAAUUUGGAAUUAUCUAGACCAAAACAAAGCCUGAUUUCAACAAAAACUUAACUGACACACGUUUAUAUUCUCAUUGCAAUUGUUUUUCACAGGUUUCUCCAUGUUCAUGAUCUAAAUUUAGCAUAUUAGCACGCUAACAGCUGGUUAUUAGCAACUACAAAAAGUGCAGUUGUAGAUAGCAAAAUUGUUUUUGGUUAUGUGGCGAUCUCUUCAGAUACUGUUGACUGGAUUUUUGCCAAAUUUCAGUGGGAAAAAUAAUCAGAUCUUAGCUGUGUACCAGUCCUCUGAAGGAUGGAUUUGAAGACUGUUGAAGUGGGCUGGCAGCAGAGGCACCAGGAAUUAUAUACACAUAAAUGAUCAUAAAUGUUCUUCCUUGCACUGCGUCAUCCUGCUGUGGUCCGUAAUGGACUGGCCUGAAGUCUCGCUACAAACAAGCGGCUGCUGGAAGAGAGUAGGUGAGUUGUGUUUAGUCUCUUUGCUAAAGAAAUUAGGCAAAGCUAAAAAGAUGUUUGGUGGUUAUUGCUGUGGCUGGGACCCUGUAUGUACUGUUGAUGAAGUUAGGUGCUGUUCUGAGCAUUAUUUGUGGCUAUAGAGUGGCGUUUUGGUUGAGGUUUGUGUGUGGCUCCUCAGACCACCGUGUAUUAUUAUUGUGCGGUCGUUACUAAAGUUGGUAUAACUAGAGAGGCAAGCGGUCGACAACAUUCAUCUCUAGAGGGGGUGUCUAACUUGGUGUUACGGUGUUUGACCCUAAAUUAAUUUUACGCCGGAAUAUCCCUUUAAGGCACCCACUCUGUUGGGAGUUUUUCUGGUUCAUUAUGAAGAUAAUAAGGAUAAGAGAUUGGCGAAUCAGAGGCAAGACUUGAUUGAAUGACUGACUGACUGAUAGGCAGACACACUGGAGGUAUUUGAUGGAAGGCUAAUGGCCCGCCUCUGGUAGGAUGAUUGAAUUAUGUUGUGUAAGCAUUACCAAUAUGGCGACCAUAAACGACAGGCUUCAAAACCCUGCUUCACAAAGAAAUGGUCAUUAAUCAUACCCUCUGUGAUCCUCAACCCACCGUGAUGUAUUUGACUCAGUAAUCUCUCACAAAUGUGGUUACAGACUCCCUUUGUAAACACACACAAGCAUAUGAGUGUAACUAAAGGUUAUGUCUUUAUAGUAAAUACUAAAGCUGUCUUAUUGCUUUCAGAUGGAUGCCUGUAGAAGCUGUAUUCAGCUGGGUGUGAGGAUGAAGUGUCCUUGUGUCUAUUUUCACCAGCAAAGAUUCACAGCUAGGAAGAAGUGAGACAAAAGGAAGCAAAAGUUCCUCACAGUGGUUUAGACUUGGUAUCUAUCUAGCCCAUUCAUCGGUUUAUUCUUUCAGAGGAAGGUGACAGCACAUGUUCAGAGCCAAGCCGGUGUGGCUAAAAUGGUGGUGUUUUCAACAGGUGUGAUCUUGUAACAGGAUCUAACAAUCUGCUGUUCGUGAGUCACCCUCUGCUCCUGCUGAUCUCCUGAGAAACCUUGUUGUUGUAAGAUGGGAAAGCAGCCAGUUGAUCAUGUGGUUAUCUCAAGUCAUCACAGCUUUAUUUCUUUUAAUACCAUGAACUAAGUAAUGACCCAAAUUACAUUUAUGUUUGUUUAAAAAAUAUAAGAACAAUAGAAAAAUGCUGCUUAAACUUUUAUUCUGUGUUGUUUUUGUGGGUUGUGUUCAUCUUCAGGAAGUGCAGCAGUAUUAAAUUGAGGUGUAAAAUAUUUAUGGUCCUGGAUUUCAGUCAGAGGGAACAAAAGACUCCUUAUAUUAGAAAUAAUAGGCUCUGUAAAUCAGCAAGGAGUCUUAUGAGCAUUCAAUAAUUUUAUACACCUCAUUUAUGUGAUCAUUUCUGAACACCUAUUCAGCUGGUUUUAAUUAAAAUCCCAGCAGUGUUUUAUGGCAGUUUUUACAUCUUUAUUGUGCAUCUUUGUCGGGAAGCAGGUUUGAGAGUGAGGGACCAUGUGAAGCAACAACGAAAGCAGGAGAGAAAAAGAGCACUUAAUGAAAAAAAAACAGAAACAGUUUCCAUGUCAUAAAUUUGAACUUGAAUAAAACAGAAUAAAAUAUAAGAUUUUGUUUUGAGGAUGUUUUCUAUAUUAUUGUUAUCCAACUGUUUUCAUUGUCCAAAGCACGAUAUAACCUCUGGUGUUGAUAAAUAAGAUCAAUGCAGUAGGACCAUUGACUAUAUAGAAUGGACAGCGUCUGCCUCCUCGCUGGGUGAAGCCACUCCAAGAACAGCACCCUCUGGUGACAGGCUGCAGUAUAGGUCAUAAAUGCCACCUCCUCCAGCAAAAUUUAUGGAGCUGUGGACAAACUUCAGAAAUUCAUUACACAGAACAUAAAUUCUUUUCCCCCCUGAUUGCGAUGUUGACGUGUAGUUACUGUAAGACUGGUUUGUGCUCUAGUCCUCUUUUAUUUCUGUACGGCUCCAUUUUAAAAGUUAUUAGGGGGUUCAUGUUUUCUAUGAUUGACACUUGAUACAGCCUAUGAACGUACGAAGACUGCGUAGCUCACCCAAGGAUACGCUGCUUGAGCCGAGCGUCAUCUCAGCGUAUCUCAGCGAUUCUCCCGCCAAAUGUGCACAAUGCUACUGCGCAAGUGGUGGAGUGUGUACAAUGCUACCGCGCAGUGUUGUUUCCAGAAGAUGGAGAAAAAAUGCUGAAUUACUGAGAACUUUUCGGCUCUAAAUCUGUAUACUGGAAGAAGGUGGAACCAAGUUGUCCGUAGUAUAUACAGUCUGUGAGUAGUAACUUGUAAGCGCCUAAAGCUGGCUCCAA